rnacentral:rRNA from 1 species
UACGGAGGGUGCGAGCGUUGUCCGGAAUCAUUGGGCGUAAAGGGCGCGUAGGUGGCCCGGUCAGUUCGUGGUGAAAGCGCGGGGCUCAACCCUGCGUCGGCCAUGAAUACUGCCGCGGCUGGAGCACUGUAGAGGCAGGCGGAAUUCCGGGUGUAGCGGUGGAAUGCGUAGAUAUCAGGAAGAACACCGGUGGCGAAGGCGGCUCGCUGGGCCAGUUCUGACACUCAUCCGCGAAAGCGUGGGGAGCAAACAGG